rnacentral:rRNA from 1 species
CGUACACUCCUACGGGAGGCAGCAGUGGGGAAUAUUGCACAAUGGGCGCAAGCCUGAUGCAGCCAUGCCGCGUGUAUGAAGAAGGCCUUCGGGUUGUAAAGUACUUUCAGCGGGGAGGAAGGCGAUAAGGUUAAUAACCUUGUUGAUUGACGUUACCCGCAGAAGAAGCACCGGCUAACUCCGUGCCAGCAGCCGCGGUAAUACGGAGGGUGCAAGCGUUAAUCGGAAUUACUGGGCGUAAAGCGCACGCAGGCGGUCUGUCAAGUCGGAUGUGAAAUCCCCGGGCUCAACCUGGGAACUGCAUUCGAAACUGGCAGGCUAGAGUCUUGUAGAGGGGGGUAGAAUUCCAGGUGGAGCGGUGAAAUGCGUAGAGAUCUGGAGGAAUACCGGUGGCGAAGGCGGCCCCCUGGACAAAGACUGACGCUCAGGUGCGAAAGCGUGGGGAGCAAACAGGAUUAGAAACCCGAGUAGUCCCAUGAU